CUGACGAGUGGCGGACGGGUGAGUAAUGUCUGGGAAACUGCCUGAUGGAGGGGGAUAACUACUGGAAACGGUAGCUAAUACCGCAUAACGUCGCAAGACCAAAGAGGGGGACCUUCGGGCCUCUUGCCAUCGGAUGUGCCCAGAUGGGAUUAGCUUGUAGGUGGGGUAACGGCUCACCUAGGCGACGAUCCCUAGCUGGUCUGAGAGGAUGACCAGCCACACUGGAACUGAGACACGGUCCAGACUCCUACGGGAGGCAGCAGUGGGGAAUAUUGCACAAUGGGCGCAAGCCUGAUGCAGCCAUGCCGCGUGUAUGAAGAAGGCCUUCGGGUUGUAAAGUACUUUCAGCGGGGAGGAAGGGAGUAAAGUUAAUACCUUUGCUCAUUGACGUUACCCGCAGAAGAAGCACCGGCUAACUCCGUGCCAGCAGCCGCGGUAAUACGGAGGGUGCAAGCGUUAAUCGGAAUUACUGGGCGUAAAGCGCACGCAGGCGGUUUGUUAAGUCAGAUGUGAAAUCCCCGGGCUCA
rnacentral:rRNA from 1 species